CAUAGGAGCAACGGUUCAUAAUUUUGUGAUUCAAUUAGCACUCUCUAUGGUUGCUUCUGAAAGCAUUAAAAUCUACAAUGCUAUCAGUGAUGGUGUCGUAAAUUUGGUCGACAAGUUCUUUGAAAUGCAACGACAUGAUGCUCUUAAGGCUUUGGAUAUAUAUCAGAGGUCAGGGAAACAGGCAGAAAAACACUCCCUUUCUCCCCUUAGUUAGAUAUGAGGGUCAACUAUUCCUCUUUUGGACUCAACCUACUGUAGAACCCACUGCGCUAUAGAG